AAGUCGAGCGCCCAGCAAUGGGAGCGGCGGACGGGUGAGUAACACGUGGGAAUUUUCCUCAAGGUACGGAACAACUCAGGGAAACUUGGGCUAAUACCGUAUGAUGCAGAGAUGCCAAAGAUUUAUCGCCUUGGGAUAAGCCCGCGUCAGAUUAGGUAGUUGGUGAGGUAACGGCUCACCAAGCCUGUGAUCUGUAGCUGGUCUGAGAGGACGAUCAGCCACAUUGGGACUGAGACACGGCCCAAACUCCUACGGGAGGCAGCAGUGGGGAAUCUUGCGCAAUGGGCGAAAGCCUGACGCAGCCAUGCCGCGUGAAUGAUGAAGGUCUUAGGAUUGUAAAGUUCUUUCGCUCGUGACGAUGAUGACGGUAACGAGAGAAGAAGCCCCGGCUAACUUCGUGCCAGCAGCCGCGGUAAUACGAAGGGGGCUAGCGUUGUUCGGAAUUACUGGGCGUAAAGCGCGCGUAGGCGGUUUUGCAAGCCAGAGGUGAAAUGCCCGAGCUCAACUUGGGAAUUGCCUUUGGGACUGCGAGGCUUCGAGGACGAGAGAGGUGAGUGGAAUUCCCAGUGUAGAGGUGAAAUUCGUAGAUAUUG
rnacentral:rRNA from 1 species